UUUCCGUAGGUGAACCAGCGGAGGGAUCAUUAUCGAGUUUAUAACUCCCAAACCCUAUGUGAACUUACCACUUGUUGCUUCGGCGCGCGCUUCGGCGCCGCCGAGGACACUUAAACUCUUUGUUUUCAUAAGCAUUUCUGAGUGGCCGAAAGGCAAAAUACAAAUGAAUCAAAACUUUCAACAACGGAUCUCUUGGUUCUG
rnacentral:misc_RNA from 1 species